GCCCCUAAGCAGCAGCGCGCGGGUCCCAGGGCAAGAUCAAGUGUAGUAUCCAGGGGUGGCCCGUGACUACAGGCGGACUUGGCCGCUGCCGCCCAGGGUGCCAGCAGCCGGCCUCUGACCGCUCCUGCUCGUAUCCAGUGGUCCUGUGAGAUCUACACGGAACACGUCACGGGCCACCGGCAAUCCCAGGACAAAGAGCACUCUGAGGGCUCCCAAGAACCUGCAAGGCAGAGAUCCUGACGCUCAUUGAGGUGUGCAGCGAGGAAGAAAACCUCCAGGAUCUCCACUCCAGACGGCGCAACGCUGACAUCUAAGGCCACAUGGCCAAUACCCUGGCCACAUCCAGACCCAGGAGCAGGCCCAGAUGAAAGUUAAAGAGUUCUGCCACAGUAAGGGGGCACAGCUCCCACUCCAGGGCAACACCACACUCCUUCCCCUAUUACCAAGACCUGCACCACAUCCUGGGGGGCAGUGCAGCCCUUGACCCACCCUGGUGAUCAACUCAGAGCUGGAGACACCUGUCAUCACCCACCCAAGGGCCAGAGCCGGGGAGGAGAAGGAGGAGGACCACAACGCAGCCAGCUCCAUCACCUCAAUGACACUGGAGCCAGUACCCAAUGGCCUGGAUGUGUCCCAGGCAUCCUCCAAAGCUGGGGAGGGAACAUCAACCGCAAGAGGAGGACAGGCAAUACCACCUGAGGCAGCCGCC